UGGAGUGGGGACCCUCACCCUAUCCUGCCCUCUUUGCGGCAGCCCCUGGGCUUCUGAGGGACACGAAUUAAAAAAGAAACCGGCUGAGGGACGCCUGGCUGGGGAGAAAAUCAAGAAAACAAUGCUGAUCGCGCAGUUUUUAUGGAAAAUCGUUUCAUCACACGGAGAAUAGGAACGUGAAAAGUUAUCUACUCCAGGUGUCAAGCAUGCUGGCCGAACUUUCACUGCGAGCCAUCAGACUGACCCCACUCCACAGACGGGAACCGCAUCCUGCUGGAACCUAGAGAAGCCGGUGUGAUCUGGCCAAGGGGCCAGCUCUUAGUCCACAGCGGUGAACCUUUAGAUCCAGUUGAUGUCCCAGCAACUUCCGUUCUCUCCUUGGAAUACCAGCCAGCAAGAAAAAGGAAAGAACUGAUAGACACAACAAGCAGUGGUCUGGCCUGCUGGGCCACGAGCAGACGUCUACUAAAGAAAGGUCACCAUUCUUUGCCA